rnacentral:ribozyme from 16 species
GUGCCGCACCAAGCAUAACAUCAAAAUGAAUGUAAUAUAAAUCCCCCCCGUUAAUCAUUGAUUGCCUACAUGCAUAUUAAAAAUUAUUACCAUGUUGUCGUCCUUACGCUUCUUCAUUCUUCACACACACACAUACACACACACACACUACAAUCAUUACAAGAAGAAAUGCCGUCUUCAACAAUCAUUAAUACGUCACCAUACGAGAUCGAGCAU